AGAUUAUCACCUGGUUCUCUAGAAAGAGAAGGUGAUACUGCCCAGAGCCCUUCCUGACAAAGAUGUUCCUCAGAGGGAAAAGCACAGGACAGCUGUUGUGGAGAAGCUUUGGGGCACUUCAUGAACAGGACUCCUACUACGCAUCAGGAAUGGUGUGAUAAAAUACUUCGGAGAGUGCUGGGCACAUGGCGAGUGCAUGUGAGGCCAGAAGUGUUCUUCACAAACUACUCCUUGUUGGACAGAGGGAUGGAAGUCCUCCACCAUCUAUGGAGACAUGAGGAGUUUGGUGAGCUGUAUUCGGAGGUGUAACCUUGCCCAAGUCAGCUAGCUUCUAUGGACUGCAGUCUCCUCACCUGUAAAAGAAGGAAGGACUGGAGAAUCCCCACUGACAGUAUGUGGAUGGGGAGUGAGAAGUUCCGUGGCAACAAGGAGGAAGUAUCUGCUUUGUAGACACUCCUUGUGUCCCUGUGGCCUCUGCUGAGACACCUCCUUUCUCGGGGGCCAUGGCUAUCAGGCCGUCCCCGGUGCACUCCCGUCACUAGAGCACCUUGUUUCUCCUGCCCAGGUGCACUGUCACUGCUCCUGGCUGCUGAGCCACCUGCUGACCAGCGUUUGCUGCAAAAUGAAGAUGAAGAAGCCACUGGAGACUGGGUGGGCUGAGACAGGCUGUGUCUUCACUUGCUUGGAUGCAUAAACAAAACAGCUGAGCACGUACUCGUCAAACACAUCAAAGUCACAAAAGACAAGGAAAGACUGAGGAAUUCCCACAAACUAAGGCGUCUAAGGAGACAUGAUGACUAAAGGUAAUGAGGAAUCCUGGGUUGGAUCUGGCAACAGGAAAAGAACGUUAAUCAAAAAACUGAUGAAAUAUGAAUAGUUUCUAGUUAAUUAAUACAGUUAAUGUCAUUUUGAUAAUCGUACUAUGGUUAUGUAAGAUGUUAACACUGGGGGAAGUUGGGUGAAAGCUACACGGGGGCUCUAUGUCUAAAAUUAUUUCCAAAUAAAAACUUUAAAAAAAAGAACCCUCCCUCUAAUUUAAAUGCUCAUCAGCAGUAGAGAGAUGAAUUAUUGUGAUGGUUUUUGAGAUGCUGGCAAUGUUACGUUUCUUAUCCUGUAUUAUGCUUGCAAUUUUCCACUUUGUAAAAAUUCACUGAGCUGUAAUUUGAUUCAACUCUUAGCUUUCAAAUAUUGCAUUGGCUUCUGAAUUCACAUGGUUCUAUGAAAAUCAAGAUUCAUUAGUCAGGUUUACAUCUAAGACUAAAGGCUUUAACUAUAUUAGAGAACAGUCUGGUGCUUAAUUUAGAGAGGUAGCAUUUGAUGCGCGAAUAUACUGACCCCAUAAAGGGUCAGUCUCGGGGACAUUCACCAGAUGCCAAUGAUAUGCUGCUGAAUCUUCCAAGAAGACAGUGAUACUAUCUGCAAAUAAUGAUGUUUUCUGAAGUUAAAAUUUUUCUGUCAAAGUCUCAGGGUUUUUUGUCUGUUUUACCAGUUUAAUUUAAUUUGUUCUAAUUCCAAAACACUACCAGUGUUAAAUAAUUUUGGUAAAUAUGGGUAUAUCAAUGGUUUCAGCUUUACUUAAUAGACAUCUCAAAUAAAUGGCUUAAACAAUAAAUUAGAUUAUUUCAUUUCAAAUAAACUUUCAAUAGGAUUAUUCCAGGACUGGUUAAUGUUAUUUCUACAAUAUCAAUUUAAGAAUUCAUAUUCUUUGCAUCUUUCCUCUCUGCCAUCUGCAGAAAAGUCUGACAUUCCCCAUGGUAGCAAGAAAGAUACCGAAGCACCAGCUUUCACACUCACACACCACAACAUACUAAAACCGGAACAGAGGGACUUCUGUGCGUCAAUCUUGCCCAUUUCCCCAGAAGCCUCACAACAGAAAUCUUAGCUUUUCAUUUUCAGAAUUUUAUCAUGUGCUCUUUUCUAAGGCAAUCUUUGCCAAGGUGAACAGAAUAUUACCAGGAAUGGUUCAGACCUGUCACAUUCCACCCUGUGGGGAUGUAGAAGGACCUAGAAUGCCAUGGAGGACACAGCCACCUGGCACCUGAGUGACAAUGAGGGUCUAUUAGCAGAAGGAAGUAAUUCUUGAGUAGGACUUGACCAGCUGCCAGAGAGGACACGACUCCAUUAUACUUGACUGGCGUGUUCUUUGUAGGGGAUCUUCUGUCCUCUGAGGAACGACGCAGCUGUUGUUGAGAUACUCAUUGUAAUAUUUUUAAAGUAUCAUUUUAUUUCUGGUACACUGAAACUUUUUACUGGGAACUGUUUCAGUACUGUGUCAAAUGACUUGUUUUGUUUUUGUUUCCUUCUUUUCCCCUAGGUGGGAAUGUGUUUGCCAUUUCUCUAGAAGAUACCUUUUAACUUACUGACACGCUUUAUUGUAUUAAGACAUUUUAUAACAUUAAAUCCUUCUUACAGUCUCAGAAUAUAUCUUACUUGGGCAUAUGAGUACUUGUAUUUGAACUAUAAUUUUUUUUCAAAUUUUUGAGAUAUACCUAUUUGCAAAAAAAGUUUCUGCAUAAUGGUUAUGAUAGUAAUCACAAAAUGAUUUUAAAACUAUUUGUUUUAUGUUCCAUUUAUUUUAUGAAAUAUGUUCCUUAAAAUUUUGAAAGAUUUUUUUCUACA